AACGCAGCAAAAUGCUGAUAAGUAAUGUGAAUUGCAGAAUUCAGUGAAUCAUCGAAUCUUUGAACGCACAUUGCGCCCGCCAGUAUUCUGGCGGGCAUGCCUGUUCGAGCGUCAUUUCAACCCUCAAGCC
rnacentral:misc_RNA from 1 species